AUUUUACCGGUUUCAAGAAAAAUCUGAAGUCGUAGACCGGUAUCCCGAAUAAUUUGUACAUUGUCGGAAUGUGCGCUAUCGUUGGCCUACCGUUGGUGAGAACUGCCAUGGGAAUCGGUCCGAUUCCAGUGUCAGGCUGUUGAAAAAGAAAAUUCAUCAUUACGUGUGAUUUUUUAGUGGUCUCUUCCCUUCGGCAGGGUGAUUAGGGUGAAUUUCCUACGAACAAUUCAUCGUCAUCGGUCGGUAUCAGAUCUGAUGACUUACCGAUCAAAAACUCGUGACACACCCUUGGCGUUCCAUCGGAGCAUGUUCUCUAAAUCGAAGUUGAACACAACCCUGAUGUUGACGAAUACUAAUGAUGACAUGUCAUUGAAUUUACUCCUUUGUCCAGGUAAUUGCAUUCUUGGUCUCGACACGGAAAAAACCCAGAGGAUCAGAGGCUACAGUCUUCAGGUAUUUGCAAUUUUCGGGCCUGGACAAUAAAUCCAAGCAACUGCGAAGUUACGUGUCAGUCUUAUUUUAAUAUGGAUACAGCGUCUGAAUGAAAAAUGCAGAAAAAUCGUUGGGGUUCUCCGUUCGAUUUGCGAUGCUGCUCUUUGACAGAACUUCGCACGUGUUGUCCAUUUUGUCGCAUUUCUGAACGGAAAAAUGGAGAUCUCUCGACGAGUAUCAGGAAUUGCUCGGUCCAGUCGACACGCUCGUUUUCCUGAAGCCGUAAUAUAGACGUAGCAAUAUCAAGAUAUUCCGAAGGUUUCGGGUCGUGGCACAAUUGACUCGACAAAUUCAAGUCCAAUUUAUCCAACGACCGGUCGAUUAAUAAGCUAAUUAUUCAUCAAUUAUUCGCUGUUGGGAGCACAAAAAUUAUAAGACAUAUCGAUUAUUUUUAGUCGUAGACCCACUUUGAUUCGUCGCAAUC